UGAGUGCCAGAGAUCAGAGGGUGGGAACAAGCCACUCAGAC
rnacentral:sRNA from 12 species